GUGCUCACUUCGGCAGCACAUAUACUAAAGUUGGAACGAUACAGAGAAGAUUAGCAUGGCACCUGCGCAAGGAUGAUAUGCAAAUUCGUGAAGCGUUCCAUAAUUAA
ensembl:snRNA LOC120100150 U6 spliceosomal RNA